rnacentral:lncRNA from 1 species
CUAGAUUGUGAAGUUUACACUUAGCCUGUGUCUAAACAUUUGCCUGGAAAUUUGCAGCCAUGCUGAACACAUGCAUCCCUCCUGCAGCCUACAGCAGACAUAUGAUAGAAAGGAGACGGUCGUCAGGGUGCUGGGCUCAGUGGGAAGUCAAAGAUGCUGUAGUGUGAAAUGCACUUACAUGGGCUGACCUUUGUAAAGGCACCACUCACAUGCUCCUGAGAUUCCCAUAUAGCCUAACAGCAUGUUAGAACGGUCACAACCCAAAGACUCCAUGUCUGAUCAUUUCUGAUGCUUGGCAGCCCAUUCCAAAGGCAUCUCCCCCUCUACAUUUGCCUUUGAGCACAGUUGAGGCACUGCCUUCCCAAAGGACCCCAUUCCUGUCCCUUCCUGCAAUCUUCAGUCACAUAGAAAGACAUCUCCCCUGGCAUCAUCAGUGUCCAGUACAAUAAAAAGUCACCAGAAUCGUCAAGCUGGAUCCAAUGCCAGCCCAGGUCCAGGCUGAAGCUUUCUUCUCUAGAUGCCCAGGAAAGGCACGAUAGUUCAGUCAUAUUAGGUUCCUGCCAGCUAAGAAGCCUAAGUUUCAAAGAAAAAGGCACCAUUCAUCCCAAAUUCACCAUGGUCUGACUUUUGU